UAGUGCCGGAGUGGUUAACGGGGCAGACUUGAAAUCUGCUGGCCUUCGGCCGCGGAGGUUCGAAUCCUUCCUAGUC
rnacentral:ncRNA from 12 species